UUCACUUUAUCCAAAUCUCCGCACUCAAAACAACCCCUCUCAAAAAAUGGUAGCAAGUAUUGAGGUGUACUACAAGAGCUAGAAUAACUACUAGAGGAACUUGGUGCAGAUGAACCCAAAACUGAACGUGCACGAGAUAAACUCUAAGCUGGGAGUGCACCGAGAGAUGACUGAAUUAGUCGAUAACUAUAUGAACCAUGGCUAUCAAAUGCGCCACAAUGAACUGGAUGAGCCAUCUAGGGGAGCCUAUAAGGACGACCCUUGCUGCGGUGGAACUGACCCCCAGAUGGAAGAUUGCUUAAACCUCCAAACCACGAGGCCUCUUGACCCCCCUCUCCUCACGCUCCUGACCAUAAACCAACUCUAACUGUCGAGCAAU
rnacentral:lncRNA from 1 species